rnacentral:rRNA from 1 species
GACGAACGCUGGCGGCGUGCUUAACACAUGCAAGUCGAACGGAAAGGCCCUGCUUUUGUGGUGUGCUCGAGUGGCGAACGGGUGAGUAACACGUGAGUAACCUGCCCUUGACUUUGGUAUAACUUCAGGAAACUGGGGCUAAUACCGGAUAGGAGCUCCUGCGGCAUGGUGGGGGUUGGAAAGGUUCGGCGGUUGGGGAUGGACUCGCGGCUUAUCAGCUUGUUGGUGGGGUAGUGGCUUACCAAGGCUUUGACGGGGAGCCGGCCUGAGAGGGUGACCGGCCACAUUGGGACUGAGAUACGGACAAGACUCCUACGGGAGGCAGCAGUGGGGAAUAUUGCACAAUGGGAGGAAGCCUGAUGCAGCAACGCCGCGUGCGGGAUGACGGCCUUCGGGUUGUAACCCGCUUUCGACUGUGACGACGCGUGAGUGACGGUAAUGGGUAAAGAAGCACCGGCUAACUACGUG